ACUAUUUGGAUUCUGGUUGUCGACCUUGUUUCCUGCAUCUGGUUUAUGCCUCUGCCUGCCCCUUGCCUGACGCCUCUUGUUCCAAUCGUUGUCCCUGUUUCUGCCUUUGGAUUAUUGAGCCAGCCUAGCCCUCGGAUUAUUCAGCCUGGAGUCACUUCUUACUUGUGCUGUGGAGAUCACCACCUGCCGCCCACUGAGGUUUCCCUCUCUGGGUUUCAAGUUCUACUCAAGACAAAAGCAGAUGGAUUAUGUUCCUCCACAUGUUCAGGUGUUCAGUUCUGUGUCCGGUUCCUUUGAUCACCUCCAUGAGUAAAGGAGUCCAACAUGCUGGCAGCUUGAAACCGUCACAGAACCUGCAGAGGAACAAAGGGUUGUUGUUGCUGAGGAGAAGGAAGUGA